GAUGAACGCUGGCGGCGUGCUUAACACAUGCAAGUCGAACGGAAAGGCUCCUGCUUGCAGGGGUACUCGAGUGGCGAACGGGUGAGUAACACGUGGGUGAUCUGCCCUGCACUUCGGGAUAAGCCUGGGAAACUGGGUCUAAUACCGGAUAGACGAUGGUUUGGAUGCCAUUGUGGAAAGUUUUUCGGUGUGGGAUGAGCUCGCGGCCUAUCAGCUUGUUGGUGGGGUAAUGGCCUACCAAGGCGUCGACGGGUAGCCGGCCUGAGAGGGUGUACGGCCACAUUGGGACUGAGAUACGGCCCAGACUCCUACGGGAGGCAGCAGUGGGGAAUAUUGCACAAUGGGCGCAAGCCUGAUGCAGCGACGCCGCGUGGGGGAUGACGGCCUUCGGGUUGUAAACUCCUUUCGCUAGGGACGAAGCGCAAGUGACGGUACCUGGAGAAGAAGCACCGGCUAACUACGUG
rnacentral:rRNA from 1 species